GGCGGGCACCUAUCUAAGGCUGGGUGGUUGGUAGAGAACCAGAGAAGGCUCCUGAAAGAGCUGAGCUUUGAAAGACCAAGGAGUUGUCAAGAUAAAGUAGAGAAGGUCUCUACACAAUUGCACAUCAGUUCAAGCAACUGCAUUAGCACAGGAGUGCCGAGUCGUUCCAAAGAGAGAAGAGUGAGCCAAUAGCUACAGCUGGCAGCCAGGGAAGGGAAAAUGUGCUCUGAGCACUCAGUGAGUCACCCAAACAGACAGGAGGAAGCAUGUGCCAAUUGAGCCUGGAGGCUGCGCCAGAGCUCACACACUCAGCAAGGUCAGGAUUUGAAUAGAAGGAAGCUCCUGGAAAUAAGCUCUAAUGAAACAAGGAAAGAAACCAAGAAAGAGGAACACAAGAGUCCAGGAAAGAAGGGGCUCAACACAGGAAAGAAUUUUCAAGACAGGGAAGACUUCCAGGGCAGUGGUGGAGAGAAGAGAGAAUUGGGGACCAUAUAAUCCCCUGGAGCCUGGGAUGGACAUUUGGGUAGAUACACGAGUUACAGAUGGCCUUCACGAUGUCUCCUGAGCACAGAAGUCUAGUGUCCAUGAUGUGUGGGGGUUCUAAAAGACUCAAAGUGAGUUCAAGAUUUUCCUCUCACCAUUAAAAGGAAAUGUUGCUGACUCUGUCUGUGAACGGUAUGCUGAGUUGUUCUAGACCAUAGGCCAUAUUUGGUGCUUUUUGUUCUUACAAAUAUGGGCUACAGUACACUAAACAUCCAUACUAUUUCCUCAAGAUCAAAUUGCGUCCCAUGAUUGGCAUCUGCCUGACGUUGCCUAGAGAUGAGAAUUCAGUCUGUGCCUUUGAAACGCGUUUCUCUCACUAUGAAGCCAACUGGCCCACGUGGGAUUUGGCUCUACAAGUCUCCCUCAUUAACAGCUAAUGAGCAGAGCUCAAUGCUAAACAACAGGGCGAUUCCUGCUUUGAUUAUUCUAGGUUCAAGGUGGUGGCACUGGCCUGGAGACUGAAAACGGCUUGCAGAAAAUUGAAACACACUCUGUAAUAAU
rnacentral:lncRNA from 1 species